rnacentral:lncRNA from 1 species
UACCCAAACACGCUACAUUUUUUCUGCCAGAGCCUGCAAAGCCACGAUUCAGCUUUUUGCCGCCUUCUGAGAGCCUAUGGGAGCCGUAGGAAGUGUCACGUUAUAGCAGAGAUCCUCAGUCUUCAAUAAACAGAGGCAAGAAGAACGACACCUUGUCAGACAGGCCACUUCCUGCAUGAAAUCUUCUCAGGUUUUUGCCUGCCAUAUGAGUUCUGUUAUACUCACAGACACCAUUCAAACAGUUUUAGAAACUUUAGGGUGUGUUCUAUCCAAAGCCAAUAAUUAUAUGCAUAUUCUAGUUACUGGGCAGGAGUAGUAACCAGAUUAAAUCGGGUACGUUUUUUAUCCAGCCGUGUCAAUACUGCCCCCUAGCCCUAACAGGUUAAACUGGGAUAGAGGAUCACUCUGUAAAUGUAUUAAACUGUGAUAGAGGAUCAAUCUGUAAAUUUAUUAAACUGUGAUAGUGAUAGAGUAUCACUUUGUAAAUGUAUUAAACUGGGAUAGAGGAUCACUCUGUAAAUGUAUUAAACUGUGAUAGGGAUAGAGGUUCACUAUGUAAAUGUAUUAAACUGUGAUAGAGGAUCACUCUGUAAAUGUAUUAAACUGUGAUAGAGGAUCACUCUGUAAAUGUAUUAAACUGUGAUAGAGGAUCACUCUGUAAAUGUAUUAAACUGUGAUAGAGGUUCACUCUGUAAAUGUAUUUAUUAGAAACAUAAUUUGACAUGUUUCGACGAACUUUACCGGUACUAUUAGGAUGUAUUCGUCUGCAUGGUUUGACCACCUUGGAGCCAGUGGAUUACUGAACACAAUGCGCCAACAAAACUGAGAUUUUGGGAUAUAAAGAGGGACUUUAUCGAACAAAACAAACAUUUAUUGUGUAGCUGGGACUCUUGUGACUGCAACCAUAUGAAGAUCUUCAAAGGUAAGUGAUUACUUUUAUCGGUCUUUCUGACUUUUGUAAUUCCUUUACUUGGUUGUAAAAUGAUUGUAUGCUUUUGAAAACGGGC